rnacentral:rRNA from 1 species
UAGGGAAUCUUCCACAAUGGGCGCAAGCCUGAUGGAGCAACACCGCGUGAGUGAAGAAGGGUUUCGGCUCGUAAAACUCUGUUGGUAGAGAAGAACGUUGGUGAGAGUGGAAAGCUCAUCAAGUGACGGUAACUACCCAGAAAGGGACGGCUAACUACGUGCCGG